UACAGAGGGUGCGAGCGUUAAUCGGAAUUACUGGGCGUAAAGCGUGCGUAGACGGUUAUUUAAGUCGGAUGUGAAAGCCCCGGGCUCAACCUGGGAAUUGCAUUCGAGACUGAAUAGCUAGGGUGCGGUAGAGGGAAGCGGAAUUUCCGGUGUAGCGGUGAAAUGCGUAGAUAUCGGAAGGAACACCUGCGGCGAAGGCGGGUUGCUGGGCCGACACUGACGCUGAUGCGCGAAAGCUAGGGGAGCGAACGGG
rnacentral:rRNA from 1 species